rnacentral:rRNA from 1 species
GACGAACGCUGGCGGCGUGCUUAACACAUGCAAGUCGAACGGAAAGGCCCUGCUUUUGUGGGGUGCUCGAGUGGCGAACGGGUGAGUAACACGUGAGUAACCUGCCCUUGACUUUGGGAUAACUUCAGGAAACUGGGGCUAAUACCGGAUAGGAGCUCCUGCUGCAUGGUGGGGGUUGGAAAGUUUCGGCGGUUGGGGAUGGACUCGCGGCUUAUCAGCUUGUUGGUGGGGUAGUGGCUUACCAAGGCUUUGACGGGUAGCCGGCCUGAGAGGGUGACCGGCCACAUUGGGACUGAGAUACGGCCCAGACUCCUACGGGAGGCAGCAGCGGGGAAUAUUGCACAAUGGGCGGAAGCCUGAUGCAGCAACGCCGCGUGCGGGAUGACGGCCUUCGGGUUGUAAACCGCUUUCGCCUGUGACGAAGCGUGAGUGACGGUAAUGGGUAAAGAAGCACCGGCUAACUACGUGCCAGCAGCCGCGGUGAUACGUANGGUGCGAGCGUUGUCCGGAUUUAUUGGGCGUAAAGGGCUCGUAGGUGGUUGAUCGCGUCGGAAGUGUAAUCUUGGGGCUUAACCCUGAGCGUGCUUUCGAUACGGGUUGACUUGAGGAAGGUAGGGGAGAAUGGAAUUCCUGGUGGAGCGGUGGAAUGCGCAGAUAUCAGGAGGAACACCAGUGGCGAAGGCGGUUCUCUGGGCCUUUCCUGACGCUGAGGAGCGAAAGCGUGGGGAGCGAACAGGCUUAGAUACCCUGGUAGUCCACGCUGUAAACGGUGGGUACUAGGUGUGGGGUCCAUUCCACGGGUUCCGUGCCGUAGCUAACGCUUUAAGUACCCCGCCUGGGGAGUACGGCCGCAAGGCUAAAACUCAAAGGAAUUGACGGGGCCCCGCACAAGCGGCGGAGCAUGCGGAUUAAUUCGAUGCAACGCGUAGAACCUUACCUGGGUUUGACAUGGAUCGGGAGUGCUCAGAGAUGGGUGUGCCUCUUUUGGGGUCGGUUCACAGGUGGUGCAUGGCUGUCGUCAGCUCGUGUCGUGAGAUGUUGGGUUAAGUCCCGCAACGAGCGCAACCCUUGUUCACUGUUGCCAGCACGUUAUGGUGGGGACUCAGUGGAGACCGCCGGGGUCAACUCGGAGGAAGGUGGGGAUGACGUCAAGUCAUCAUGCCCCUUAUGUCCAGGGCUUCACGCAUGCUACAAUGGCUGGUACAGAGAGUGGCGAGCCUGUGAGGGUGAGCGAAUCUCGGAAAGCCGGUCUCAGUUCGGAUUGGGGUCUGCAACUCGACCUCAUGAAGUCGGAGUCGCUAGUAAUCGCAGAUCAGCAACGCUGCGGUGAAUACGUUCCCGGG